ACACUGUAUACACAAUGUUCACGUUGUUGAGCUCACGCACACCAAAGGGUCAAUGUUCAAUAGAGGGAUCAAUGGAAUAGGAAUCUUAAUAAACUUGAACUCUAACCCCGCUCUCUGACGUCACCGCUGCAUUACCUCUUCGGCGUGAGGGGGGAGGUGUACCCCGCUAGUGACGUCAUGUCACCUGCUGCCGCGUGACGUCACGAGACACCAGGAAGCUGCCGUACUCUACGCGCGCGCUCACUGUGAGCCGAGAGUCCCCAUGGGGUUAGAUGGGCUGCAAACUUGAAGAAUCUUGCAGAAGGUAAAUGUCAGUUGGGAAACGGGACUGAGCAUCAGAAGCUUCUGUCAUAGCUUCAUGAAGAUGGUGGAAGAUCUUGCACAGGGGAGGGCAGUAGGUAAACGAUCCAUCGAUUGUGAACCUGAAUUAGCGAGUUAGUGGCAGGUCUGAGCGUUGUUUGAAAUCCACCAUGCUCAGCAUUUCUGUGAAGAUAUAAGAGGAUAGCCAUCAUGGGCCAACUUGAGCGUCUUUCAAGUAGUUGCAUGGAUACGUCUUGGUACGGCUGUGGUCUUGCAUACUUGGCGCAUUUGGAUAGAACUGGCCACAUGGGCCAUGGACCAUUUGGUUGCAGA